rnacentral:lncRNA from 1 species
GUUUUUGGCUGUGAUCACUGGGAGAGAUAGAAGGGACUGUAUUUGCUCCAUCUUACCCAGCUCUGCAAACCUGCUGGAGAGUUUAAUUGGCAUAUGACUUCUAUCCUCAAAGUCACAAGAUGGCUGCUGGAGUUCCAGUCAGGAUGUCUGUACAUCUCUUUCAGGUUGGCGCAGUGGCUCACACCUGUAAUCCCAGCACUUUGGGAGGCCGAGGCAGGCGGAUCACCUGAGGUCCGGAGUUAGAAACCAGCCUGACCAACGUGGAGAAACCCCGUCUCUAAUAAAAAUACAAAAUGAGCUGGGCGUGGAGGUGCAUGCCUGUAAUCCCAGCUACUCAGGAGGCUGAGGCAGGAGAAUCGCUUGAACCCAGAAGGUGGAGGUUGCAGUGAGCGGAGAUCACGCCAUUGCAAUCUGGGCAACAAGAGCGAAGCUCUGUCUCAAAAAAAAAAAAAAA